UACGAUAUAACUCAGCUGGGAGAGUGCUUCCCUUACAAGGAAGAAGCCACAGGUUCGCCUGUGCGUAG
rnacentral:tRNA from 1 species